GAUGAACGCUGGUGGCGUGCCUAACACAUGCAAGUCGAGCGGAGAUUUUGGAAGCAGAAAUGCGGAAGAUUUCUUAGCGGCGGACGGGUGAGUAACACGUGAGUAAUCUGCCUUCUGCAGGGGAAUAACAUUGUGAAAACAGUGCUAAUACCGCAUGACAUCCGACUGGGACAUCCCGGACGGACCAAAGGAGAAAUCCGGCAGAAGAUGAGCUCGCGUCCGAUUAGCUAGUUGGCGGGUAACGGCCCACCAAGGCUUCGAUCGGUAGCCGAACUGAGAGGUUGAUCGGCCACAUUGGGACUGAGACACGGCCCAGACUCCUACGGGUGGCAG
rnacentral:rRNA from 1 species